GAUGAACGCUGGCGGCGUGCCUAAUACAUGCAAGUCGAGCGAACGGACGAGAAGCUUGCUUCUCUGAUGUUAGCGGCGGACGGGUGAGUAACACGUGGAUAACCUACCUAUAAGACUGGGAUAACUUCGGGAAACCGGAGCUAAUACCGGAUAAUAUUUUGAACCGCAUGGUUCAAAAGUGAAAGACGGUCUUGCUGUCACUUAUAGAUGGAUCCGCGCUGCAUUAGCUAGUUGGUAAGGUAACGGCUUACCAAGGCAACGAUGCAUAGCCGACCUGAGAGGGUGAUCGGCCACACUGGAACUGAGACACGGUCCAGGCUCCUACGAGAGGCAGCAGUAGGGAAUCUUCCGCAAUGGGCGAAAGCCUGACGGAGCAACGCCGCGUGAGUGAUGAAGGUCUUCGGAUCGUAAAACUCUGUUAUUAGGGAAGAACAUAUGUGUAAGUAACUGUGCACAGCUUGACGGUACCUAAUCAGAAAGCCACGGCUAACUACGUG
rnacentral:rRNA from 1 species